UACGUAGGGUGCGAGCGUUAAUCGGAAUUACUGGGCGUAAAGCGUGCGCAGGCGGUUUUGUAAGCCAGAUGUGAAAUCCCCGGGCUUAACCUGGGAAUGGCAUUUGGGACUGCAAGGCUGGAGUGCGGCAGAGGAGACUGGAAUUCCUGGUGUAGCAGUGAAAUGCGUAGAUAUCAGGAGGAACACCAGUGGCGAAGGCGAAUCCCUGGAAAAUACCUGACACUGAGGCACGAAAGCUAGGGGAGCAAACAGG
rnacentral:rRNA from 1 species